CCCUUGUCUUCUUCUCUUCAGACCACUCUAAUUUAAGACAAUGAGGAUGAAGACCUUUAUGAUGACCCACUUCCACUUAAUGAAUUAACUCAUCCCAAGAACAGUAUCCAUAAGGAAGAUGGAAAAGGGGGACAGAAUAAAUGUUACCCUAAGAAGUCCAGAGCAACAUGGUACCUGAUUAGCUGUUUCCUCUUCUGGCUCCUGAAUAUUAAAGACAGUUGCACUGUCA
rnacentral:lncRNA from 10 species